GCCAGAUCGCCACGCAAACACCUGCCCGCUGUCGCCACCGCCACCAUAUGGGUCGCAGAGACUGAGCAGGGUGUCCCCGCCCCUCCGCCAAGGAAGUUGAGGGAGAACGACCGGCUCCCUUCAAGCCGCCUGCCCUGCCCGCAGACUCUGAGCUGCCGGGCAUAGCUAGCUGCAGGGUAAUGCGGGCUGAGCAGGCUCCAGCAGAGUGGCCGGAACCGGCUGAGGUCCAGUACAGAUCCCCUACUGAAAGUGGAAACUGGGAAACUGGGAUUCCAGUCCUGCUCUGUCCUAGCGAAUUUUGUGGCCUUGGGGGAGUGUCAUCAAAGCGUCUCGGUCCUCCCAUUUGCAAGAUGAGGCAGUCAGCCUUGUUUCUCACAAUAGUCAGGGACUCCACUAACCCUUUUAUUCUGGCUCCUGGGCCCCUAGCCACUCUGCCGGAGUCACUUUAACCCUUUAACCUCACAGUGUUAGGGCUGUGAGAUGUGGAAAACCUGGGAGUGGUAAUCUGAGGUCUUCUGUGCAGACUCAAAUCCACCUCUUAGACUCUCUCCAUUGCCACGGGAAAAUUUCACCUUUCGGGUCUGUCUUUCAGUCCAAUCAUAUCUGAGAUCGGAUACCAAAAUGGACAAACAAGGUCUUCAGGCACAGGAAAGAGCUCACCACCUUCCUCAAACCCCCUAAUCUUGUAUUCUCCGCAGCCCAGUCAGACGGGCUAGACUGGGUCUAGGUAGCACACAGCCCAGCCAGAGUUUGGCCAUGGAUCAUUAGCCACAACCUAGAUCUGGAUUGGGCCACCCCCAUUUCAGUUACUUAAACCACUGUGACCUGGCUGAAAGAAAGGGAUUGUCUUACACUCUGACAGAGGAGCCCAAACCAAGAACUCCACACAAGGCCUGGUGAGGAGGCUGGGCCAGGGGUGAGUGAGUCUGUCCUGAGAUUCCAGGUGCCUCCCAUUCCCCCUCAUGACAAUGUAUGGCAACAAAGGGCAGCUGUAGGUUAAGGGUAGACAAAGGCUCCUCAGCCAGCAGCAAGGAGCCCCUGGCUGGUUUCCCGCUAGGGUCAAGAAGCAGUGGUUGAGAGCAGUAACCCAUACACCAAGACAGAGGCAAUGCGGGGGGGGGGGGGGGGAGCGGAAAGUACGAUCAUAAAUCAAAUUUUCCUAGAGCCGCUAUCUUGUCCUAUUGCCACCAUGGGCUCUACUGCCCAAAUCCCUAGCUACCAGGAGGCCCCACAGGGUCUUCUGCACUCCUGAGGGACAUUUGCAAAGUGACUCUGAUGAGGAGAGGGUGGUGAACCCAUCCCAAGGCCAGGCUAGACCCAAGUGUCCUCAGAUGGGUAUGUGUAGUCCCCAUCCUGGCCUCCGUGACCAGGUCCUUCCUCUGGCACAGUCUUUCCCCUUUGCCCUUGCUGGCAUCGAGCCGUUUAGCUGGCUCUCCUUUCCUGGGUCUUUGACAGCACACCAGUCGCGGCAGGUAGCACACCUUGGGGUGUUCAGAUCCUGCAUCGGAACACCUGAAGUCUGUCCUGGGAAUGGUCCCAGAAGGUACAAAAGCAGUCCUUGGAAGUAGGGUGGCAACAGAGAAGAGACCACGCAGCGGACUGAGGAUCUGGUCUGGUGCCACUUCCUCAAGCCUCCUUCCCCAUAUCCCCACCCUCUAACCAUUUCCAAGAUUCACUUUUCCAGGCCAUCAAGGGGCAUCUGGCCUCUCCUCUGGGUCCCUCCUCCCCUGUCAGGCUGAGGUGGAGUCUGUAGGCGCCAGGCAAGCCUGCAGGUGCUGGGACAGAAGGGGUGGGGGACUGAGCAGCUGGUGUGCGGGCUGACCCUCCCCCUUCCUGCUCCAAGCCAGAGCCUGCUUCCUGUCUUCCCUGUCAGCACUCCUGGUAAGGGGAGGGAACAGGUAGCGGUGAGGGGAAAGAGGGAAGGGAUGAUCAAUUGAAGUGCUGCCCUGAGGGAAAAGAUGGGGGCUGGGGGACAGCAGAGAAGAAAGGGCAAUGGGAAGGCUGAGAAAGAGACUUGAUGACCAGGCAAAAGGCGGUUAGUGUAGCUCAGAGCCUACGAAGCAGAGGGGAGCCACUCGGGCAGGGCAGGGGAAGCAACAUAACCAGCAGACAGUGGAGGCAAGACCUAGGGGAACUAGAGGCAGAGACAAUCAGAGAGAAACCAGACACAUGCACACAUGCGUGCACACACGCACAUCCAGAGAGGGGGGCAUCUUGUGAAAGAACAGGAGAUGGGAGUUAGAAGUUCAGUGGACAGAGGUGUGUUGCAGGCAGAAAAAAAUGUGUAAAAGUGAGGUGGGGAAACAACCCCAAGGGAGGAUAGAGGGGAGUCACGAAUGGCAAACCCCAGUGAACACUCUCCUCCCAUAAAAAGCCAGAAGAUGGGAAGGCACAGGGCUCACACCUGCAGUCCCUGAAGAGAAAUGGGCUUGACUCCAUCUUUCCCUGUCAGGUCACUGCUGAGCUGCUGCCCUGCCCCCACCCACUCUGGAGCAUCUGGCUCAGCCUUGGAACCUCUGGGCUGGGAGGCCUCUCAGGGUCUGUGUGAGAAUGGAGAGACGUGGGAGUGGGGGCUCACAUCCAGGUGCUAAUCCCUAUGCCAGCCAGGGUAGUACCAGGGCCUUAGUGACCUUCUUGGAGAUUAAUCCCCAUGGAGACAGGACAGCUCGCCCCCUCACUCUGCCUAGGCCAGGCCUGAGGGAGAAUUGAGGAGCUUUGAGCGCCUCCCCUGACCCUGUCAAACCGAGUGGGCAGAGCAGCUGCUGAGAGGUAGAGGAUCGUAAGUGAAAGGUGCUCUCCUGCCUUCCUGAGACCCAGGACAGGCUAGGCAAGGAGGAAAGGAUCCCAGGGCUACGCCUUCUGCCUUGACCCCUCCCAGUCCAACCCGCCCCAUCGCAGAGGAAGUGGGGAGAACCCCCAGACAUCCAUAACCUGAAAAUAUACCAACAGUUGCUGCU
ensembl:lncRNA